rnacentral:sRNA from 1 species
GCCAAGCGCAGGAGGGGAGGGAGCCCCGGUGGGCCCGGGGCCUGCGGAGGGAGCCGAGCUCUUGGUGCUUUUCCCGAAGGAGCGCGGGAGGCCCACGGGUCCGGCGAGUGCCCGGCACGGCGGCUUUUCCAGCCUGCUUUGUUUUAAGCCGAGGUCCUGGCUUCUCUGUGUCUCCCAGCUGGGGGCCAUGAGGCUCCCUGAGAUGACUCUUUUCCCCUUCUCCCAACUCCGUGGCGUGACUCUCAGCCCAGUAUUGCUGCUCCGCUGCUCAGGACAGAUUCCGGGGGCUGGUCCUCCUGCCUCCUGGGGUUGAGGUGGCGUCCCGUUCUUCUCCGUGGCUUGGAGGAAACUACAUCAGGAUGAUGGCUGGGAACGUGUAGGGGCCCUCAGAGGCCCCUGUGUAGUUGGUUGUCCCCUGUCUGCUUUCUGGCUUUCAGAGAUGAGUGGCUAGAAUCAGGCGAGGGGUUUCUGCUUCUGAGCCUUAGAGUCUUGUGAGGAGACUCCUCCCUGAUGUGGUGGCACAGGAGCCUGGGUGGGGGCAAGGGUGACUGGGAGGGCACACCUGGGGGACAGCAGCGGCGGGAGUGUGGUCCGACUGGCCUGGAAGAUCUCGGGCAGAGCUGACCUCAGAACAGUGCGGGUCUCUCGCCCUCCUGGGGCAGUCCCCAGGACAAGGUGCCAGGUGCCUGGCCCAUGUUGCAGGGGGCCGUGGAGCCCAUGCAGAUCGACGUGGACCCCCAGGAAGACCCGCAGAAUGCACCUGACGUCAACUACGUGGUGGAGAACCCCAGCCUGGAUCUGGAACAGUACGCGGCCAGCUACAGCGGCCUGAUGCGCAUCGAACGGCUGCAGUUCAUUGCUGAUCACUGCCCCACGCUGCGGGUGGAGGCCCUGAAGAUGGCCCUCUCCUUCGUGCAGAGAACCUUUAACGUGGACAUGUACGAGGAGAUCCACCGCAAGCUCUCAGAGGCCACCAGGUGAGGCCAGGGGCUUGGUGAGAGGAAGCAGAGGCCACCAAGGGAGCAGGUGUCUGGGACUGGGCCCCCUUCCUGUGCCCUGCAUCUCCCACCCUGUGCUGGGAAGUCGGGCGGGUAGAGCUCUCACUCUCUUUUGGCCAGCAGUGGAAGUGCCCUGUGUGUGUGUGGCUUUUCCUGUGCGUGUGCACGCACGGCUUUGAUUCCAGGGGAGCUGUGGAGACUGUGGCUCAGGGGCCACCUCCCUGCUGGUUUCCCCACCCGGCUGUAGGCUCCUGGGGCAGCAGUUCUCUCUGUGGCCCUGGUGCAGACUGGUCCCUAGAGGUGGGGUUUGAGGCCAGCGGGAGGUGCCCACCUGUGUGCCGGUUGGGCCUUUGAGGGCAGCCUGAGAUUGGCGGCUUCCUCCCCUCCUCCCCGGCCCCCGUGACCGUCGCCAUCCUGAUGGCCAGGUCCUCUCUCAGGGAGCUGCAGAACGCACCCGACGCCAUCCCCGAGAGCGGCGUGGAGCCCCCAGCCCUGGACACGGCCUGGGUGGAGGCCACGCGGAAGAAGGCGCUGCUGAAGCUGGAGAAGCUGGACACAGACCUGAAGAACUACAAGGGCAACUCCAUCAAGGAGAGCAUCCGGCGCGGCCACGACGACCUGGGCGACCACUAUCUGGACUGUGGGGACCUCAGCAACGCCCUCAAGUGCUACUCCCGGGCCCGGGACUACUGCACCAGCGCCAAACACGUCAUCAACAUGUGCCUCAACGUCAUCAAGGUCAGCGUCUACUUGCAGAAUUGGUCUCAUGUGCUCAGCUACGUCAGCAAGGCUGAGUCCACCCCAGAGAUUGCCGAGGUACGGGCCACCUCCUCAGAGACCUUGCCCCGGGAUUCCUGAUCACUGCCGGCCCCUCCUGUCCUCCCCCACCUCAUUCUCCCCCAGAUCUGAAUCUGCCUUCAUUCCCUCUCAGUCUGGGGGCUGGGCAUCGAGCUCUAGGAAAUGUGGGGCAUGGGCCUCACGCAUGUGGCUUCCUCCUACAGCAGCGAGGAGAGCGUGACAGCCAGACCCAGGCCAUCCUCACCAAGCUCAAGUGUGCUGCAGGUGAGGGCCUGGGUCACGCCCAGCUGACCCCACGUUCCCGUGUUGCUAAGUCCUCCCAGCCCAGGGCAGUAGGCUGGUCCCUGCCUCAGCCAGGGAAAACUUCCCUGGCAGGGCGCAGGAUGUUGUGGGCACAUGUGCAGGUGUAGGUGGUGCCUAAAGUCUGCCCCGGGGAAGCCAGUGGGUGACGUGUGGUCAGGGUCUGGCUGCUGUCACUGUGGGCCUGAGGCAGGUCUGCCAGCCCGAGCUGCUCUGAACCGGGGUGUCCUUUGCAGCCCUGCUGGCACCUAGGGCUUCCCUGCAUGCCUGGCUUCAGGGAGCCUGCUCGGCAUUGGUGGGGUUGUUUCCACCCGUGACUAGAAUAUCUGUCCCCAGCGCUGAGGAACAGCUCCCGGGGCAGGAGAGGCCAGCGAGCCGGCUGGUGGUCGCGUUCUCCCUGGUUUCCAGGCGUUAGCGGCUUCCCCAGGCUCUGGGGUCUUACCCCCUCUCCCCUCUCCCCGCCCCCGGCUCCUUCCACUAGGCUUGGCAGAGCUGGCCGCCAGGAAGUACAAGCAGGCUGCCAAGUGCCUCCUGCUGGCUUCCUUUGAUCACUGUGACUUCCCUGAGGUGAGGAGCCCUCUGGGGACUUGGGAGGCAGAGCAUGGGCUCAUGGGUCAGGCUGCUUCUGUAGGAGGGUGAGGUCUCUCACAAAUGGGGUCUUAGGCAUUCUCCGAGCGGGUGAUGGGCAGGCAGGGGUGGCCUGGCCCUUCACUGCCUGUGACGCCAGGUCUCUGCUCCUCAGCUGCUGUCCCCCAGCAACGUGGCCAUCUACGGUGGCCUGUGCGCCUUGGCUACCUUUGACCGGCAGGAGCUGCAGCGCAAUGUCAUCUCCAGCAGGUAGGUGCCCCGGUCCUGCAGCCCUGAAGGCAGUCCCCGUCCCUCUCCGUGGCUGCUGCUUUGGCCUUGCGUGUCCUGGCCCCCUGGCCCCAGCGUUUUCUCAGGUGUUUGUCUGGGGACUGGUGUCCCACUGGCCACUUGGAGGGAGGGGCAGGCAGAGGACAGAGCUCUGAGGGGUCUGCCUCACCAGCUCCUUCAAGUUGUUCUUGGAGCUGGAGCCACAGGUCCGAGACAUCAUCUUCAAAUUCUACGAGUCCAAGUACGCCUCAUGUCUCAAGAUGCUGGACGAGAUGAAGUAUUUCAGCCCCUACGUGUCAGCCGACAUGCAUAGGAUGGCGGCAGCCUUCAAUACCACGGUGGCCGCCCUGGAGGAUGAGCUGACGCAGCUAAUCCUGGAGGGGCUGAUCAGUGCCCGUGUGGACUCACACAGCAAGGUGGCUGUGGGCUGUGGGGCGGUGGGGGCAGCUGGGGGUGAGCCUGGGCCCCGCUGAGCCUGUGCCCGCACAGAUCCUGUACGCCCGGGACGUGGAUCAGCGCAGCACCACCUUUGAGAAGUCUCUGUUGAUGGGCAAGGAGUUCCAGCGCCGUGCCAAGGCCAUGAUGCUGCGGGCAGCUGUGCUCCGCAACCAGAUCCAUGUCAAGGUGGGCUGGCGCGAGGGGGGGGGGCUGGCGCGAGGUGGGGCAGGUGCACGGCGUGUGGGGCCUGGUGGCUGUGAGCUGCUCCUUGUCUCCCCUGCAGUCCCCGCCCAGAGAAGGGAGCCAGGGGGAGCUGACUCCAGCCAACAGCCAGUCCCGGAUGAGCACCAACAUGUGAGGGAUGAACCUUGGCCUCCAGGACAUCUGCACCCCCUCCCCACCUCCACGGACCUCCUGACCUCCAGGCGGCUCAGUGCUGCCUGCGGCCCAGCUAAGGGGCCUGGCCACUGGGUGCCACCCAGCCUGUGUGCCCUCGCUGGGGCUGAGGAGGCAGGCGGCUGCUAGUUGUGGCCCUUCCUGGAAGGAGAGGCCUGCAGGGCUCGACCCUGUGGGUUUCUGUCCCCAGGGAGCAGACUGUGCGGCACCCAGGCCCAGCGGCACCAUUUCCCAGACCCCUCCUGUUCCCGCCUCAGUCAGUUGCAGACAAGUGGGCGGUGUCCAUUAAAGAGCAGAUUCAGCGUU